rnacentral:rRNA from 1 species
CCUACGGGGUGCAGCAGUGGGGAAUAUUGCACAAUGGGCGCAAGCCUGAUGCAGCCAUGCCGCGUGUAUGAAGAAGGCCUUCGGGUUGUAAAGUACUUUCAGCGGGGAGGAAGGCGAUAAGGUUAAUAGCCUUGUCGAUUGACCUUACCCGCAGAAGAAGCACCGGCUAACUCCGUGCCAGCAGCCGCGGUGAUACGGAGGGUGCAAGCGUUAAUCGGAAUUACUGGGCGUAAAGCGCACGCAGGCGGUCUGUCAAGUCGGAUGUGAAAUCCCCGGGCUCAACCUGGGAACUGCAUUCGAAACUGGCAGGCUAGAGUCUUGUAGAGGGGGGUAGAAUUCCAGGUGUAGCGGUGAAAUGCGUAGAGAUCUGGAGGAAUACCGGUGGCGAAGGCGGCCCCCUGGACAAAGACUGACGCUCAGGUGCGAAAGCGUGGGGAGCAAACAGGAUUAGAUACCCCCGUAGUC